UACGUAGGCAGCAAGCGUUGUUCGGAGUUACUGGGCGUAAAGGGUGCGUAGGCGGUCCUGUAAGUAUGGUGUGAAAUCUCCCGGCUUAACUGGGAGGGUGCGCUAUAGACUGCGGGACUAGAGGGUGGGAGAGGUGAGUGGAAUUCCUGGUGUAGCGGUGAAAUGCGUAGAUAUCAGGAGGAACACCUGUGGCGAAAGCGGCUCACUGGACCACAACUGACGCUGAUGCACGAAAGCUAGGGGAGCAAACAGG
rnacentral:rRNA from 1 species